ensembl:lncRNA
AGACAGGAGUGCGAAGGAGCCAUUGCACCAGUUACAACCAGGAGACUGGGUGGUCAUACGAGACCUAAAAAAAGGAAACACUGGAAGCAGAAACGCUGGACGGGCCCGCACUUGAUACUAUUGGUCACCCACACCGCGGUGAAGGUCGAGGGUCGAGGAACGUGGGUGCACGCAAGCCACUGCAGAAAGCUGCCCUCUUGCGGCAGUGACCAGCCCUCUCCUUCGACACCAGGCGCCACUGGGGUCCAGACGACGAAGGAAACUUAAGGACGAGAUGACUGGACACAGGAUGGCCAGUAGCAGAACCAGUAGAAGACACUGUCAUGGGUCGCGCAGCACUAGAAUGUAUGCUACAAGACAAGAGCAUAAUAGUCAUGGGACCCACCAUUUAGCAACCUCCAUUUUGAGUCUGAAUAAUGAUCACUACAGGUGGAAAUCUCUCAAAGAAGAGCCUGUGGUGUGAUGAAACCUGUCAGAGGAUAAAAGGAGUGGAAUGUUAGGGAAAAUAAAAUAUAAUCAUUUCUGUGUGCAGUAUGUGUACAAUAUAAUCAAAUGUUUUCUAUUCGCAAGAGACGCUUUAAGGCCGACAGCCCUCACUUACAGUAAUUCACAAUAGCUGUUUUGUUCUAACCAUGAGUGAAUUGAAAGAUCACGACAAGUGAGAGAAUGAUAAAAACCCUGCUUAGCAAGCCAUGGCAAAAUGAGUCAUUUGUCUUAGUACAAAUGUCAUGUGUUUCACUAACAGCAUUAUAUUUACUCAUGUUGUCUGUACUAUUUGCCAAGUUAGCAGAAUUGAGAGAAAGAUUAGAGUAAAUGACGAAUGUUUAUCCUCUUGUGGUUUCCUCACCUUCUUUGAGAGUGACAGACAGCCCCAAUAGGACACUCUACUCAGAAGACCAAUAGAGUCAAUCACUGAUUCUACGAAUUAGGGAACAUUAAACAUAAAAUGGCCACGAUUCUGCGAAAAGAGAUUAUUUCUGGACACGAAUGUACGUGCAGAGGG